UCUCCCUCCCGGUAGCUAGCGGCCGGCGGCGGGCGAAGGACAGCCGAAGGUGACUGGCGUCAGACAGUAAGCGGCGGACGACGGCGGGAGGCGACCUCCGGCGGCAGGAAAAAAUAGAGAAACAGAAUCGUACUCGCCUUGCUUUUUGUUUGGGCCUUUGUUGAAAAGUCUGGAGCCGAGUUGGCUCUUCUGCUGCAACGAACAAUUACACUCAGCGAUAAGCACCCUGAUAAACUUGCCAGUUCUGAUAGUCUGACUCGGCCGCCGGCGGUGGAUGUUCGGGAGUGGAGUCCACCCCCCACGCGCUCCGAUCUUGACGGCUAUGGGUGUAUUCCCGACGACUUUCUUACUCUCUUCGAGUGCAGCGUCGGCGACGGUGACCGCCGCCACGGUUUCUUGACUUCGCCAGAGAACUCGGCCGCCGGCGAGGGAAGCUCGGGAGUGGAUUCCAUGCGCUCCGAUCUUGAGGGGUGAUGGACACUGACUUCACAAAUUGUUCUCCUUCCACAACAACUAGUAGAUGCAGAAAUGGGGGAAGAAGAAGGAGCAGGAGAAAUUCAAAUCCAAUCACUCCUAGAAGAGAGUUUCCAAGAAUCAGCCAACCCAAACCCCACCUGCAAACAAGCCUUCGAGUAGGCCUCCCCCUCUCACUCAAUCAAAGUCGUCAUAGUGAGAUGGCAACUCAUUCGGAACAAGCUCAUGGAGAUAUCUUCUGCAUUGGCCAUAUCUGAUGAGUGCACUGAGCUUCCAAGGCAUGGUUCAAGAAAUGACGUUUGCAGUCAGGGAGUGUUGUGGCCUUGCUGAGAAAUGCAUGGGUUCAUUCCUAUAGCGGGAAGCUAUUGAUUCAGAGCAAUUUGGGCAUGGUCUUGACAAAGCUCCGUUGCCAUGUCAAGAAUCUCUCUGGGAUGUGCAAAACCAGUUUUUUCCUCAUGGGUGUGCCGUUGUUGUCUCAAAGCCCAGCUUUGGGGCUUGUAAGGAGGACAUGAGGUUUUAAGUUAAGGAUUUGUGGACAAGGAGGAAGAUUGAGGAAGUCCCAGAAAUGAAGAGCCAAGCUCUGGCUAGUUUGCACAAAGUUGCGAAUGACGAUGAGAAAUUUGUGAAGGUGGUCAUGGAAGUUGGUGAGGUCAUUCACCUCUUGGUCAGCUCUCUUGAUUCUCUGGAGAUUGAAGUUCAAGAAGAGGCUGCAAGAGUGCUCUCAGUGGUUGCAGGGUUUGAUUCAUGCAGGGCUAUGGCUAUGGUGAUUACCUGGUCUGCUGCCACUUACUGAUGAGAAACUUAACUUCUUGGCCACUUUAGCAGAAUGCUUUUCAUAAGUGUUUCUGUUAGCCCUCAUGAUAAACUUAACUAAAGGUGAGGGCUACUGCAUAGGCUGCUUUCUAGGGUUGUACAAAUGAGCGUUCCUUGACUUUUCUUGGUUAUAUGGUUUCGAACAUCUGGUGGAAACACUAGGUUGUGAUUGAAGUUUACUUGAUUGUACAUUCAUGUAGCUCAAGCAUAAUUGUCAAGGGUAUUCUGUCUUCCCAUCUGUAGGAAA